rnacentral:rRNA from 1 species
GCCGAUGUCUGAUUAGCUAGUUGGUGAGGUAGAGGCUCACCACGGCCACGAUCAGUAUGUGGUCUGAGAGGACCACCAACCACACUGGGACUGAGACACGGCCCAAACUCCUACGGGAGGCAGCACUGGCCAAUUUUGGAGAAUGAGCGAAAGCCUGAUCCUGCAAUGCCCUGUGUGUGAAGAAGGCCUUCGGGUUGUAAAGCACUUUUGUCCGGACAGAAUUGGUUCUGGUUAACACCUGGGGUCGAAGACGGUACCGGAAGAAUAAAGUCCGGCUAAGUACGUGCCAGCUACCGCGGUUAUACUUACGGUCCAAACGUUAAUCGGGAUUACUGCGCAUAAAGCUUGCACAGGCGUUGCACAGACCGAUAUAAAAUCCCCGACCUAAACUGAGAAUUCAUUGUGACUGCACGCUAGAGUGUGUCAGAGAGGGGUAGAAUUCGGAGUAGCAAUGACAUGCGUAGAGAUGAGGAGCAACACCGAGGCGAAGGCAGCCCCCUGCGAUACACCGACGCUCAUGCAAGAAAGGUGACGAACAAACAGGAUACAUACCCUGGUACUCCACGCCAUAAACGAUGUCAACUAGUUGGGGGAUUCAUUUCCGUACUAAAGUAGCUACCGUGAAGUUGACCGCCUGGGGAGUACGUAACAAGAUUAAAAUCAAGGAAUUGACGGGACCCGCACAGCGGUGCAUGAUGUGGAUAAUUCGAUGCAACGCGAAAACCUUACCUACCCCUGACUGCCACUAACGAACAGAGAUGCAUUAGGUUCUGGAAAGAGAAAGUGGACACAGGUGCUGCAUGGCUGUCGUCAGCUCGUGUCAUGAGAUGUUAGGUUAAGUCCCGCAACGAGCGCAACCCUUGUCUCUACUUGCUACGAAAGGGCACUCUAGAGAGACUGCCGGUGACAAACCGGAGGAAGGUGGGGAUGACGUCAAGUCCUCAUGGCCCUUAUGGGUAGGGCUUCCCCCGUCAUACAAUGGUGCAUGCCAAGGGUUACCAAGCCGGGAGGUGGAGGUAAUUCCAGAAAAGGCAUCUUAGUUCGGAUUGUAGUCUGCAACUCGAGUACGUGAAGUUGGAAUCGCUAGUAAUCGCGGAUCAGCAUGCCGCGGUGAAUACGUUCCCGGGUCUUGUACACACCGCCCGUCACACCAUGGGAGUUGGUUUUACCAGAAGGUCAGUUAGCCUAAC